AGAAAACAAACGAAAAGCAGCAUGGCAACAACUCAAAAGCAGGAAUUUCAGCGGUCAGGAUUUACUCCCUGCUUUUGGCCAUUUGACGCAUCUGCAGCUUUCUGGCUCCUCGUGCUGAGAAUCCUUCCAAAAGAAGAGUUUUAAAUUCAGCAUUGUCAUAAGCCAUACCAGGAAGCUAGCUGACCUUCCUCUGCUGGGGAAGGGCAAAGCACCCAGCCACGUCCCUCCCAUCUGCUCUGCAUCACCUUGGGCUGUUGCACAGAGUGAGAACGCUCACGGUUCUUUCAGUGUGAAGAUAAGUAGUUGUUAAAAAGUGUAUUUGAGAUAAGGCUUUGUCACUUUCUUUUGAUUCUACGCUUGUAAGUCCAAUACUUAGAUAUAUUUUACUUGCACCUGAACAAUAUCUUCCACUUCUUCACGGCUACGUACUUUUUACCCCUUGUGCCAACUGCUCAAAAUUUAGCCUUUCAAGUUAACGUGCUGCAGGUCCUUCUGCAGAAAUGGACAUCAGCAGAGGCAGAUGAGUAAAUGCUGUUAGGUGGCCAUGUUGAACAUGGAAGUAUUUCUGAGGGUACACUGAUAGAGUAGGUCCUUCUGAAUUUUCCACUGCUCAUUUGAAGUUCAGAACAGAUGAUGGCAAGGGGAAUUCAUGCCUUUUCUUCUCUGAAACCGUCGCUGGAAGAGAACAAAUCACCCUGCGUUGUCCUUUUCUCCUAACAGCUUCUUCAUUUAAAAUACCAACAGCACUGACAAAUCUUUCAAUUGCGGUGAUUUUUAAAAUCUCCUGCUCCUGAAAGUACACGUUUCCCUCUGCACUGGAGGAUUCUUAUGCCACUUAAAAUUCUUUUUAGCCCCCUCUGUCCUAGAGAAGUUAAAAGCCAAGUGAGGUAAUUAGAAACAAAGCACCAAGUAAUCUUGGAGCCCUUAAAAUAGAGAAUCUUUGCCAUCGAGGACACGCUUCAGCAUUGGCUCUGGUUGUUGAAAGGAGUUUGAAUUGGGUUCACACGCUGUAAGCCUCAGACUCAUGUUCCUCCUAUCCACUGGCUCAAAGCAUCCCUUGUGUCCUUCAGAAGAGCCAAAGUCACAAGAAAUAUUAGGGGACUUGUGGUGUUAUGCCCAGCUCCGGAUCACCCAGAAGACAGGAAGGAAAAAUGUGGACUGAGAUACCAGUUUUUUUUCUUUUCUGUGGACUUGGUCAUUCUUUGAGGCUGUGCCUCGGCAUGACCCAUGGGUUUUCAUUGUGGUCUUGGCCCCGUGGUGUGGUGACAGCAACUAUUCUUGUACCUGCUAGCAAUCACUGUGGAGAUAACCCAUGGCUUCUCUCCGUGUGCUGCUUUUUAAUGGGCACAGACCACAGUACAGCUACUACAUGGAAUUUUUUUAGUAUCUAUAUGUUUAUGAAGUCCGAGGAGUUGAACUUGAGUCUUAAAAUGCAUUCCUCAACAGCCAGGUAUUGUCAGCUCUGCUUAAGAAGUGUGCUUUGAUGAACUGGGCUUUCUAUCCCUCUUCCAUGGGUUGUUAAGUCUGUAAUCAGAAAUUUAGGGGAAUGGCUAGCUGGCCCAACUUCCAAAUAUUGAAAACCUCAAAGUAAUGUAGCACAUAACUGAAAUCACAUAAACUUUAGGUAUGAGAAAUGAAGCUUCUGACACCUCAUUUUCAUUACAAAGAUGGUAACAAGAAUGGAAAAUGUCACGAGAAUAAUUCACUUGUGUUUGGUCUUUUGUACCAUAAUUAUCUAGUUCUUCUCGCUUUGGGCUCUCCUUCUCCAGCGUGACUUUUGGGACGGGCUUGGUGGGUUUGGCUUUUAAUGAUCUAAUAAAUACAAGUAAUAGCUUGUGAUUUGUUUAAUGUUUUGAACUGAAAGGUCAAGGGUAGGAAGAUUAAAUAGUUUUUACUGAGAGCAUUUCCCCUGAUGACUAUCUCUUGCUGGAAGCAACACGAUUUCUUAAGCAAGCAUAAAAUCAGUUUAGGAAGGCUCUGAGCUCAAAUUAAAGCAGCAAGGAGAACAAUGUUAGUGCAUGGGUACUAUCAGCUACAGUAGGAUAGGCAAAAAUGAAAUCAGGCGGGGAAAUCAUACCCAGGUUUUCUUAUAAUGUCACUGCAGAGUGGAUUAUGAUUUUUUUUUUGGCACGUGUGGAAAAUCUGUGUGAAGAUCAGUGGGACUGAAGUAAAGACUGAAUUGCUUUAAGCCUAUGCUUUGCAGUUCAGCUUUUGCUAAUUAAAUUGUAGCUUUUAAUGACUUUUUCUGGUAAUUGAUUACCUGAGCGAUAAGCAACUGGCACCCAUUUUUUUGUGUAUGGAGCCUGAGACAAGGAAUUCAGCUCAGAUAACCGCAUUCUGGGUCAGUAAUUCCUUACAACAACAUGUCAAGCUUAUGGAGGUUGGAAAAGACCUCUAAGAUGAUCACAUCCAACCACUCGCCUACCACCAAUGUUGCCCACUGAACAAUGUCCCUUAGUACUACAUGCUUCUUGAACACCUCCAGGGAUGGUGACUCUACCACCUCCCUAGGCAGCCUGUGCCAGUGCCUGACCACUCUUUAAGCUUUUCCAGUACCCAACAUGAACCUCCCUGGAGCAACUUCAGGCUGUUCCCUCUCGUCCUAUCACUAUCUCCUAUCCUGGAGAAGAUGCCAGCCCCUACCUUGCCACAACGUCCUUCCAGGUAGUUUAGAGGGCAGUCCUAUUCCCUGUUGUGAAGGUGUUACAGAGGUCUCUGCCUUGCCCCAGUUCUCAACGGAGUUGUAGUAUUGGUGAAGGAGAAAACCAGUCUCCUAAUAUCGUUAGCUGUGCAUUGCAAGAACUGGAGAACCAAGACAGAUACAUCUUUUCAUUCUAUUUUUAUUCUAUGACAGACACUCUGGAGACUUUGCACGCUUCCCUGGGUUCCUGGACAAGCACCCUGUUUACUUUCAUCUGAAAUAAAUGUUUCAUCACAGAAAAUGAGAUCGUGUCAGCAAAGAGGAAAAUCUUCAUGCUGGUAGCUGAGCCUCCGUGGGUUCUUGAUGGUUAUUAUCUACUCCUCCGACCUGGUUAAAGAUCCAGCUCUAUUUUUAGAGGUGAAAUACUUAUCUGAGAAGGAGGAGAGAGAGCAACAGAGUGACGUAUUUGCAGUGAUGCUGUUGACAUGCCUCGUGGUCUUUGGCUCUUCUUAGGCUCCCAGGAGACAUUUUGCACCUUAGGGCUUUAACGUCUCAGACGUUACUCUCAAGUCCCUGCCGGUAGCAGACAGCAGCUAUGGAGAAGCGCAGAGGCAAGAGGGAGAUGUAACAGCAUCAGUUCAAAGAGAUGCAAAAAGGUGCACAAGCGACAGUGGAACCAAGUCCAAAAACACUGCUGAGCUGGUGCCUUCAGGAAUUGCAUGCUGAAACGCCGGCACUGAAGCUGAGUGGUAGUCAUGAUGGUGUUAAAUGAAUGGAAGAACAUUCUGUAGACAGAGCAUUUCGAAGAGACCAAUGAAAGAAACAAAUGUUUUGUCAGAGAAGAUGAGAUCCAUCAAGGUAAGAAACACCAAACUGCGUUAGCAAGAAAUAAAGGCCUUAAAUAACUGUUUCUCAUAGAACAUUGAAGUUUUGCUGUUCCAGAAACCUACAUCCAUAGGCUUGUAUAAAGGUGGAUCCAAACUUAACUUGAAUUAUCAAAUAAAACAGUUGACAAUGUGUUACAAAGCCAACACAGUUCUGCUCUGCCUACUUUCACUUACUGGUUAGACAGUACACUUGGUGUCUGUUUUCCAGCACAGGACCACAGCUGAUCUCCCAUUUUGAUUGGGCAGCUUUCUAUUCAAGCUGGUUUGAAAUGGUUAAACAAUGGGCGGUAGGUUAAAAGCUAGAAUUCUCUUUGAUAACCUAAUGUUACCCUUUGACUUUGUGCACUUAUUCCAUCUUCAAAAGAAUCAAGUUUCAAAGGAAGAAAGAAAAACUAACGAAGGUCCAGCACCAGAAGGUGAGAAACAUUUCCUAUGAGGUUCUGAGUGUUGUCUGCUGUUAUUAAUAUUUUUUAUCUUGCCUGUCAACUGAGGCAGAAAGCCGAUUUCCUGGGAGGUCAAAUAUGCACUGUGGAAGUCAUAGCUGCAAUAACAAGGCAUUACAUUCUGUUCCCCUGUGUUCUAUUCACGUAAGGAUGAGUGAGGGGCCCAGUGUGUUGAUCGAUCUAUCAACCAUUCUCUAGCUGAAAGGGAGUGUACGCUUCUGAGGGGAAAUAAAGGAAGAGAAAGUCCCUCAGUUGAGUGUAACCAGCACUUGAGGGCAUGAAAGCUAUUGCAGCUCCUAGUUUUAGUAAAUGAAUUGAAAGAAAUGUUUUUAUCCAAUCAUUUCUCAGCUAUGAGGUAAAAAUAAGCCAUUUCCUAAAUUAUGGAGACCGCCUAGAGCUAGCUCUAUCCCACAGAUAAGACAGCUAUGUAAGGCCAGUGAAAUAUUUUUGAUUAUUAUUAUUUAUUCAUGCCUGAAUUAUUUAACACCCAGAGGUCUUGAACAGAAGCAGGCUCCCACAGAGUUCACUGCUCUGUUUGCUUUGAGGAUGGGCAGCGAAGGGUCUCCUGGCUGCUUCCUUGCACUGUGAGCACUAUGAUGGGCAGCUGCAAACUCUCAGGGGAAAGAAAAGCCAUCACCUGGUACUGGCUGCCCUAAGAUAUUUGCCCUGUGUGCUCUCAGAGCAAAAAUUCAGAACACUUUUGGCAAGGGACAGGGCACAUAUCAUAACACAGUUCAUUUAUCUGGGCUAUGUGUAAACCUCUGCUGCUGCUGAACUUGUUUUACUCCAGUAAACACCCUGAAAAAUAAACCAGAGAAAGAGUAACGUGAAGAAUAACAUUAAAAUUGGCAUGGCACACGACAAAAAACAGCGAUGUUUGUGUGAGCAGUUAUUUCACGCAGUCCAUCUGGAUCAGGAGACAGCAGGAUCUUGUGUGCUAAGAAAUGCAUGCAGAAGAAUAAAUAGUCCAGGUCUCGGUUCUGCAUUGGGCCCUACCUCAAACCAACCAUCCUUACUGAGGAGUGACAUCAAGUGAGUAGUGAGCAACUGAUAUUAUGUUCUUGUGAAACGAGAGCCAAACAUGACCCCCAAUGCUGCCAUGUUCUUUAAAAAUAGCUUUUCAAGUGAUACCUCCUCCAAAGAAUAAUGGCCAAGUGCAAGGACAGAGUCAUAACAAUGCCAUUCUUUCAAGCAGAAGGUGAUCUUUAUGUCAAGGAAAGCCAAAAGCUUGCUGAAGUUCAUAAUGGUUUGUGUCAAGUUGAAAGUUUUAACAUCCAAUCUCUGCCCUAUCUGAGCUUGAAGGAUAUUAUUUUCCAAUCACAGGGGAAUGUGAGGGGAGCUCAAUAUACCUCACUAGACUUGUCCUAAAAAAACAGUUUACUCUCUGUUAGGUCAGCAUCCCAAAAUUCCAGCAUGAUAAGUCUGCAGAUGAAUAUUUAUCAUACAGUCCUUCUGAGAAUGAAAAAAAAAAAAAGUCAAAACUGCCAACACUUUAAUUGUUUAAUAGGUUUAAUACUUCCAUUAGUAUGACAGAGCUGGUGCAGGUGGGAGAAGUGAUCACUCACGAUUCAUUAUGGCAGUUCACUUAUUUUAUCUAAGGUUCUCAAGUGCUUCAAAAAGUCUCAAAAAAAGGAAAUCUUAUACAAAUGGAGCCACAUGCCCCUGUGUCAGUUCCUCCUGAGGUUUCCCAUAUGUGCAUCAAAUGCUGCAGUGAUUCUUAGAAAUACACUUCCAGGGCUUAUGAAGCAUCCUCUGGAAUACCAGAAAGAAUUCUGAGAUCUGAACCUGUAAAGCUAUAAUGUGAUGGAAAGUACAGUGAGAGUAGCAGAUUAACAAAAUCCUAUGCUGCAGCAAAUGAGAACAAAUCCAAAUGCAGCAGCUGAGACUGCAGAAACAAAGGAAGGAAAACUGCUUACCUCUGGAAGGCUUCUGGUAGGCAGAGAGCUCCAGUGAGAUAACCUCACCUCCACUGCCAACCCUUAAAUGAGAUCAGGGAAGGGGUGGAUCCUGACUCCAGCCCUUCCAGUCACUCAGGAGCAUUGCAUACACCUGAGCUCCCCUGGGUUGGCCCAGCCUUCCCACCAGGUGCUCAAUCACUGCUUCAGGCUGUGACAGCAUUUCUGCUGCAGAACCUCUGUAGGGGAAUGACUGGUUCAGGUGAAGAGGCACAGUAAGUCAUCUCACAUUGCUUUUCCCAGCAGAAUAAGCAAUGUCUACUGCAUUAAAAACCAAGUGCAACUCUUGUCGGAGAAAUACUAGAUGCUGUGUGAGCAAACACUGCAGACUAUUAAUAGCUCUUCAAAAACAUGAGCAGCCUUGUAUACGCACAGCUCGUCAAGAAUGCUGCUUUGAAAUGCAAGUGGUUAGAGCUGCAGUGUGUGUGACUAAUCUCUGCUGGAAUGCAUGGGAAUACCUUUGGUAUCCAGACCCACAGCACCAAACCAACAGGCAGACAUUCACCUCUGGACAGGGGAGAUUGGCUGCCUACCAAGUUCAGUCCAUAACACAACUGUACAAAUAUAAUGAUCGUUUUUAAUUAUGUUUAAAAGCAGUUAACAGGAAAGAUUGAUCUAAAUCAUUGGCUCUAAUCAUUUUGUAGUUAUGCGUAAUGUUUUUAGAAUAUAUGGCUGGUAAGCAUUGAAAACAUAGAUAAAAAUGCAUUCAACUUUGUUCUGUUUAUCAAGGAGAUAUAGCCUACGUGUACACGUUUAUUAACGUAACCAUACAGCAGAGCACCUAUGGAUUUGGUUUGACUUUGCAUACUUCUCUAUUAUCCAGUGGUAACGCAUUUCUUUUACAAGACAGUGGUGUUGUCCCAAUGAUUCCUGCCGCAGUCUAGAUGGAUGAAAACUUAGCUCAUAUCCAAAUGCAGAAAACCUGCAUUCAGUCAUUUUCAUAGUGUGUUCAUAUCUACCUGGAAUGUGCUGUAUACAGAGAAUGGAUCCUCCAAAUGUGUUUAUUUAACACUGGAUUUCAUAACAUUAGCCAAGAUAUCACAAUUUGUUGCUGACUCCCUUGUAGAUUUUGGUGUGUGCCUGUUCCCUUCUACAUCUAUUUUAUAAUAAACAAAAGCCUUCCUGCCUCGUUAGCUACAAUGAAGUAAGGGAAAUAUUAUUUGAAUUAAAUUACUAGAAUAAAUUGAAAUGAGAAAAAGAACUGUCUCCAUUGCUGAAGUGCAGCUAUUCUUUCAGGAGUAUUUUUAGCUUUUUUUAAUCUGAAAUUAACAUGCUUCUGGAUGUAUUAAAUUUAAGCAUAGCUCCUUCAGAAAAACAAAAAGGUGAUUAAACUCCUUCACAGAUUCAGUUUUAUUAACACCACAGAAGUAGAUCUCAACAUAUUUUUUCACUGUUUUAAAAAUCUUUCAGUCAUUUAGGAUACUUUUUUUUGAGAUAACUUACGGGAGGGUAUUCUGGAGGUCAGCUGUCCUCCUGGAGAAACAAUCAAUACAUUCAGCAAAGGCCAGAAAAUGUGUGAGCCAUUAAGAAAAAGAAGAUAUAUUUUAAGAAGGCUUGUUUUCCUCUAUGGGGAACAAAUGAGAUUUGACAGGUCAGCUCAAGGAAACGUAUACAGCUCUGCUACAUAUUCGUAGCAUUAAUUUUUUUUAUUCACUGAAACUGUUUCCUGGAAAGUUCCAUGUAAGAGACCAGUCAUUUGUUGGCAGCUUGUGACGACAGCCUCCUGGAUUUCACCAACCUGAACUCACUGGCAAAUAACUACCACUCUGCCAUCGGUGCUGGAGGGGCGGGCAAGUAACCAAGGCCUGUGCCUGAACAAGCCUACAGAAGUACAUGGAAGUAUCAACUGGUGGUGAACUCCUGCAGUAACAAGUUCAGAACUGUGGAUCAGGAAUAGCCAAUGAGGGAUGGAUUCUGCCGAAUAUUUCCCUUACCACUGUAGUGUCCAACAUCAGAUCUGCACUUUUUCCAUACAGUUUUACAAACAUAUGUAGGUGGUAUGUGGUGCCUAUCAGCACAAGCGGGAUCAAACAUCUUUAAUUGCCUGGUGACAAGACACUGCUAAAACUGAAAUGAAUGGCUAUCUUAAGUACUUAAAUGAAGCUUACUAAUAGGUUAUGCUUUUUCUACAUAGUUUUACUUCUCUCUGAAGUUUUAGGCAGCUUCUGAAAACAAGGUCUUGAGCUGUAACAUUGAUCCACAGUCUAUUCCUUUCUGCCAUGGCAAAUUCCAAAGACAUUCUGUAAAAGAGCUUCAAAUAAUAAGAUGGGUUUCCACAGGUACAGUGCCUCAAGUUUUCCAGUGGCACAAUUCAGGAGGUUCACAGAAUCCUAGCUGGAAAGGACCUCUGGAGAUCAUCCAGUUCAUUAACUAGUUAACAUGUACAUUUAAAGCCUACCUGAAUAGCUGAAAAUACUCAAAGGAAAUCAUUAAUACCUGAUGUCUCAGCACAUCUUUGCCGAUGGCAAAUUAAAGCAAGCCCUGGAAAUUACUUUGGCAAUCUAAAAAGACCUCCCUAUCUCAGCUGAUUUGGACGGUAGGGGUUUGCUCUAUAUUAACCAUUUCAGAAAUAAUGGCCAAAACUUGUGUGUAUGUAGAUGCUACAGAUAAAGUAACACCGGCAGAGGUGAUUCUCCUACUAUAUUUAGCUUUAGUGCAUUCCGAGAUCAGCAAAGCAAACUGAAGGCACAUCCUGUGAGGAGAGGCUAAGGACAAUUGGGUGUCCUGCCUGGAGAAGAGGAGAGGUGACCCCUCUGCUCCCUGCAGCUCCAGAGGGCAGUGCAGGGCUCUGCUCCUGGAAAUGGAGGGCAGGAGGGAAUGGCGCAGAGCUGUGGCAGAGCAGGGUCAGACUGGGCACUGGGAAAAUUAAUUUACCAUGAGGGUGGUCAGACACUGCAACAGUCUUCCUAGUGAGGUGAUUGAUGCCCCGUGCUUCUCAGUGUUCUGAAAGCAUUUGGAAAAUGCCCUCAUUAAUAUACUGUAGCUUUUGUUUAGCCCUGAAGUGCUCAGGCAUUUGGACCUAAUGAUCUCUGUAGGUCCCUUCCAACCGAACUAAUCUGUUCUGUUCUGUUAAUUCAUUUUAUUUGGUUUCAACUUCAGUGUGGCUUUCUGAGAGUUAAGACCACUCCGCAGUCCUGUUACCCUCCUGAACUGACGGCCAAGUAUUGACCAGCUUCUCCGGAAACACAGAUUUCCUACCAGUUACCUCCUAAAAAGUAAUCAACAUCUUUCUGCUCGAUGUCUUCAGCGUGGUGGCUCCAGGCUGAUCCAGGACAGCAGCUCCCAGUGAGAGAUGACCCAACAACGCACGCAGGCAGCAGUCUCAGCUGGACAAAACACUGAUACCAAUACAUCCACCAAAAUUUAUUACCUACCUGGAAUGGAGAGUCAGUGCACUGUGCAGCAUGCGUAAGCAUGAAUGCAUUGUACAUUUAUUUAUUUCUAUUCGUGUAUUUUCAUAUCCAGGUUGUUCACUACCAACUGCCGAGAAACAUCAAAAAUUAAAACAAAUGAAUUCACUUA